rnacentral:rRNA from 1 species
AUACGGAGGGUGCAAGCGUUGUCCGGAUUUAUUGGGUUUAAAGGGUGCGUAGGUGGCGUGUUAAGUCAGUGGUGAAAGCCUGCAGCUCAACUGUAGAGGUGCCAUUGAUACUGACGUGCUUGAGUAUGGACGAGGUAGGCGGAAUUUGUGGUGUAGCGGUGAAAUGCAUAGAUACCACAAAGAACACCGAUAGCGAAGGCAGCUUACUGGACCAUAACUGACACUGAGGCACGAAAGUGUGGGUAGCGAACAGGAUUAGAAACCCUAGUAGUCC